rnacentral:rRNA from 1 species
GACGAAGGUGGCAAGCGUUGUUCGGAAUCACUGGGCAUAAAGCGCGCGUAGGCGGCUGUGUAAGUCAGGUGUGAAAGCCCUCGGCUCAACCGAGGAACUGCGCCUGAUACUGCACGGCUUGAGGUCCGGAGGGGAGAGUGGAAUUCCCGGUGGAGCGGUGAAAUGCGUAGAGAUCGGGAAGAACGCCGGCGGCGAAAGCGACUCUCUGGUCGGAAUCUGACGCUGAGGCGCGAAAGCUAGGGGAGCAAAC